rnacentral:rRNA from 1 species
GGUUAAGCGACUAAGCGUACACGGUGGAUGCCCUGGCAGUCAGAGGCGAUGAAGGACGUGCUAAUCUGCGAAAAGCGUCGGUAAGGUGAUAUGAACCGUUACAGCCGGCGAUGUCCGAAUGGGGAAACCCAGUGCAAUUCGUUGCACUAUCGUUAACUGAAUACAUAGGUUAACGAGGCGAACCGGGGGAACUGAAACAUCUAAGUACCCCGAGGAAAAGAAAUCAACCGAGAUUCCCCCAGUAGCGGCGAGCGAACGGGGAGCAGCCCAGAGUCUGAAUCAGCUUGUGUGUUAGUGGAACGGUCUGGAAAGUCCGACGGUACAGGGUGAUAGUCCCGUACACCAAAAUGCACAGGUUGUGAACUCGAAGAGUAGGGCGGGACACGUGGUAUCCUGUCUGAAUAUGGGGGGACCAUCCUCCAAGGCUAAAUACUCCUGACUGACCGAUAGUGAACCAGUACCGUGAGGGAAAGGCGAAAAGAACCCCGGCGAGGGGAGUGAAAAAGAACCUGAAACCGUGUACGUACAAGCAGUGGGAGCACCUUCGGGUGUGACUGCGUACCUUUUGUAUAAUGGGUCAGCGACUUAUAUUCUGUAGCAAGGUUAACCGUAUAGGGGAGCCGCAGGGAAACCGAGUCUUAACUGGGCGUUAAGUUGCAGGGUAUAGACCCGAAACCCGGUGAUCUAGCCAUGGGCAGGUUGAAGGUUGGGUAACACUAACUGGAGGACCGAACCGACUAAUGUUGAAAAAUUAGCGGAUGACUUGUGGCUGGGGGUGAAAGGCCAAUCAAACCGGGAGAUAGCUGGUUCUCCCCGAAAGCUAUUUAGGUAGCGCCUCGUGAAUUCAUCUUCGGGGGUAGAGCACUGUUUCGGCUAGGGGGUCAUCCCGACUUACCAACCCGAUGCAAACUACGAAUACCGAAGAAUGUUAUCACGGGAGACACACGGCGGGUGCUAACGUCCGUCGUGAAGAGGGAAACAACCCAGACCGCCAGCUAAGGUCCCAAAGUCAUGGUUAAGUGGGAAACGAUGUGGGAAGGCACAGACAGCCAGGAUGUUGGCUUAGAAGCAGCCAUCAUUUAAAGAAAGCGUAAUAGCUCACUGGUCGAGUCGGCCUGCGCGGAAGAUGUAACGGGGCUAAACCAUGCACCGAAGCUGCGGCAGCGACACUAUGUGUUGUUGGGUAGGGGAGCGUUCUGUAAGCCUGCGAAGGUGACCUGUGAGGGUUGCUGGAGGUAUCAGAAGUGCGAAUGCUGACAUAAGUAACGAUAAAGCGGGUGAAAAGCCCGCUCGCCGGAAGACCAAGGGUUCCUGUCCAACGUUAAUCGGGGCAGGGUGAGUCGACCCCUAAGGCGAGGCCGAAAGGCGUAGUCGAUGGGAAACAGGUUAAUAUUCCUGUACUUGGUGUUACUGCGAAGGGGGGACGGAGAAGGCUAUGUUAGCCGGGCGACGGUUGUCCCGGUUUAAGCAUGUAGGCUGGUUGUCCAGGCAAAUCCGGAUAAUCAAGGCUGAGGUGUGAUGACGAGGCACUACGGUGCUGAAGUAACAAAUGCCCUGCUUCCAGGAAAAGCCUCUAAGCAUCAGGUAACAUUAAAUCGUACCCCAAACCGACACAGGUGGUCAGGUAGAGAAUACCAAGGCGCUUGAGAGAACUCGGGUGAAGGAACUAGGCAAAAUGGUGCCGUAACUUCGGGAGAAGGCACGCUGGUGUGUAGGUGAAGUCCCUGCGGAUGGAGCUGAGACCAGUCGAAGAUACCAGCUGGCUGCAACUGUUUAUUAAAAACACAGCACUGUGCAAACACGAAAGUGGACGUAUACGGUGUGACGCCUGCCCGGUGCCGGAAGGUUAAUUGAUGGGGUUAUCCGUAAGGAGAAGCUCUUGAUCGAAGCCCCGGUAAACGGCGGCCGUAACUAUAACGGUCCUAAGGUAGCGAAAUUCCUUGUCGGGUAAGUUCCGACCUGCACGAAUGGCGUAAUGAUGGCCAGGCUGUCUCCACCCGAGACUCAGUGAAAUUGAACUCGCUGUGAAGAUGCAGUGUACCCGCGGCAAGACGGAAAGACCCCGUGAACCUUUACUAUAGCUUGACACUGAACAUUGAGCCUUGAUGUGUAGGAUAGGUGGGAGGCUUUGAAGCGUGGACGCCAGUCUGCGUGGAGCCAACCUUGAAAUACCACCCUUUAAUGUUUGAUGUUCUAACGUUGGCCCCUUACCGGGGUUGCGGACAGUGUCUGGUGGGUAGUUUGACUGGGGCGGUCUCCUCCCAAAGCGUAACGGAGGAGCACGAAGGUUAGCUAAUCCUGGUCGGACAUCAGGAGGUUAGUGCAAUGGCAUAAGCUAGCUUGACUGCGAGCGUGACGGCGCGAGCAGGUGCGAAAGCAGGUCAUAGUGAUCCGGUGGUUCUGAAUGGAAGGGCCAUCGCUCAACGGAUAAAAGGUACUCCGGGGAUAACAGGCUGAUACCGCCCAAGAGUUCAUAUCGACGGCGGUGUUUGGCACCUCGAUGUCGGCUCAUCACAUCCUGGGGCUGAAGUAGGUCCCAAGGGUAUGGCUGUUCGCCAUUUAAAGUGGUACGCGAGCUGGGUUUAGAACGUCGUGAGACAGUUCGGUCCCUAUCUGCCGUGGGCGCUGGAGAAUUGAGGGGGGCUGCUCCUAGUACGAGAGGACCGGAGUGGACGCAUCACUGGUGUUCGGGUUGUCAUGCCAAUGGCACUGCCCGGUAGCUAAAUGCGGAAGAGAUAAGUGCUGAAAGCAUCUAAGCACGAAACUUGCCCCGAGAUGAGUUCUCCCUGAGACUUUAAGUCUCCUGAAGGAACGUUGAAGACGACGACGUUGAUAGGCCGGGUGUGUAAGCGCAGCGAUGCGUUGAGCUAACCGGUACUAAUGAACCGUGAGGCUUAACCUU